rnacentral:lncRNA from 1 species
GAGUCACCAAACCGUCGUUACUUAUUCAGAAGGGAAAUAAAUAAUUUUUUAAUAUACUCCCACUAUUUUAGAACAUUUUUGAUAUAUCUUGUCAUAAAUUAUAAAAAUUUGAUGAAACAGUGACAAAACCUUUUUUUUUUUUUUAGAAAUAGAUAGCACACUACCCGCUUCGUUUAUUUCAUUUAGAAAUAAACUUAACUAGAAAUGUAAUUCAACUAGGAUUCGAACUUGGGUCUCGGGUACCAACCACCAAGCCCUUUGCCACUUGCUCUAGGGACGGUCGGUACAGUGACAAAAACUUGACGGCGGAGAACUAAAGGCUGUUUGGUUAGGUGUAAAUGGAGGGGCACAUAAAACUCAAGUUCCAUCACUUCCAAUAUUUGUUUUAAUGUAAGUUAAAAAAUAUAUAUAAUUCAAACUACUUUAGACCCUCACUUCAUCUAUUUUUUACUUUCUCCUCUAAAAUACUGAGCUCAAGUUCCACCACAUUCAACUUUGUUUAAAAAAUUUAUGAAAUAUUAAAACCUAAACUCUCUAC